rnacentral:lncRNA from 10 species
GCCCUGCCCCGCGGGAAGGCAGCUAAGGCCCCGCGAGAAAUUGAGCACAGCAGCUGCUGGCCCAGGUGCUAAGACCCUCACUGCCCGGGGCCGGUGGGGCCGGCCGGCCUCUCCGAGGGCGGGGUCUGCCAAGCCCACGCCCACCCGGAACUCACGCUGGCCCGCAAGCACCGCGCGCAGCCCCGGUUCCCGCCCACGCCUCUCCCUCCACACCUCGCCGCAAGCUGAGGGAGCUGGCUCCGGCCUUGGCCAGCCCAGAAUGGGGCCCCCACAGUGCAGCGGCGGGCUGAAGGGCUCCUCAAGUGCCGCCAAAGUAGGAGCCCAGGCAGAGGAGGCGCCGGGAGCGAGCAAGGGCUGUGAGGACUGCCAGCACGCUGUCACCUCUCAUAUGCAUAGGAGCUGUCCUUGGCCAAGAGGGAUGCUCCUUGCCUGGAAUGCUGCACUCUCACUACUUCCUGGGGGCAGACAUAGCCAAUGACUGAGGGACAGAAAUGUACAAAGGCUAGUCCUUUGUCUGAAGAAUUCAGCAGUUUCACCUUCGAAUAAUGCUGCAAAUGGAAUAUCAGUCUCUCCCCAGUGAUGCUCACUAACUGAACAAAUCUCCCUUGGAUUCAGCUGGACACCAGUUUCACCUUGACAUGCUCCCCAUCUCUGAUGAGUCGCUUCCUCCAGCAAGAUCCAAUAUCCUAAGUCCCACAGUCCAGGACAAUGACCCACAGGAUCUCCCGACAGACCAACAGCCAUAGUUAGGGUCAACUCUACACCCAAGGCCAGCAGGAAGUAGUUGGAGGAUAAGACCACUGCCCUAGUGCCAAAGACUUGUCAUUGUUGUUCUGUCAGAGGGGAAAAGGGGAGUCUGAGGAAGGAUUCCCAGGUGGGGGAGGGUCCCCUGUGGGGAGAAACAAUAAACAGUUAUUCUGAGAGAUGGCUAAUCACAAACAACCCAUGGUCACAGUGACCUUGUUCCACACAUAGCCCCCUCCAGCAUGACCCUAUAAAUCUUCCCUCCAGUCCCUCAUCUCUUGGCAGAUAGCCCCUUCUCUAUUGUACUGUCUGUUGUAACCUUGCAAUGUAUUUCAUACUUUCUCUAGUAAAUCUGCCUUGCUUUACAUACAACUCUCUUGGCAAAUUCCCUUACCACCUGCGACACCAGCCCCAGAUGAGAAUCCUGUGGCUCGGAGAGGCGAUACAACUUGCCUGAAAGCACAAAGCUAUGAAGCAAAGGCAUUCUGAUUAUAGAGUCACGCUAUUGUACAUUAUAUGGCCUCCAAAUUGAGCACCCUGCUAGGAUUCAAAAUAUGAGUGGGAGAUGCAGACAUCUUCUUGUGAUUUAAGCACCUUAUCUUUCAUUUAGAGGCACACAUGAUUAGACUCUGUGGUGUAAAUUAAUUCAAACAAAUUGGAGGAACUGAUGUUACAAACGUAAACAAGGUUCUCAUUAAAAUCUCCCUCAUUAAUUGUUUUUAUGGUGGCUGUUUGGUUUUUGUAGCCCUUACACAUGUUCUUGCAUUUAUAUUUCAGGUUCAGAUGAAGCUCAGACUGAAGCUGUAAUAAUGCUCUUGCCUACUAGGAAACAGCAGUUGGUAAUGCAUUCCUGGAUGUUCUUUUGAUAGUUCUUUCAUGGAGGAUAAACAUGUUACCUGGAGCAAGGAUUUGCAUCUCAAGAUUUCUACCACUGAGGGGAGCAUUGAGGGUAGAUGGAGCUCAGUUCAAAGAUAGCUGUAAAAUAUUAGCAUAUAACUAAUUUUAAGAAGCUAAAAUUUCUUUAUUACAGUGUAUUUGCU